CUACAUUUUAAAUUUAUUAUCUAUUUUUUUCAUUUAUUUGAUUUUGAGUUAGUGAACGAUACUUUAAUUUUAAAUUUUAAGCUAAUUACUUACUUUAAUAAGUAUAUAGUUAUUUAAACCCGUAAAAAUAAACAAUGAAUUUAAAUUUUGAAAUCAAAGUACUGUUGACUUAUUCAAAUUAGACAAAUUAAAAUGUUGGAUAGUAAAAAAAAAUUAAAAUUAAUGUUGGGUAGCUAGCUCAAACCCCUCGGUUACUGGCAAUCCAGUUCGCUAGUUGCUCUGUUGCUCAUGUCGGCUUGAAAUGAGCUUGAAAUCGAAUAGCUCGUUUAAUAAAUAAGCUGAAUACCAACUGAAUUUUUCAAUUCGGUAUCUGAACAAGCUGAACACGAGCUGGGAUCGGCUUGUUCGUGUUCGACUCGAUACAGCGCGAAUAUGUGUGCUUUAUACUUAUAUGUUUCAUAUAUAUUAUAUUUAUAUAUAAAAUUAUAUAUAUAAAUAUAAAUUCGUACAAUUUGGGCUUUUAUCAAGGGUUAAUUUCAUUUGUACCCUCAUAAAGUUAUGUAAUAUCAUAGUCGAAUUUUUAAAAUUUCACAAAUACCCCCUUUUAAUACAAUAUUUCUUUCAUAAAUAUCCUCACCGUUAUUUUUUGCUAACUUCCAUCAACUUAGUAUUUUUUUCAGUUUACUUCAAAAUAUGAAAUUAUCAUUUUACCCUUAAUUUGUUCACUUUUUAUUUAAAAAUCAAACAUUUUUCACUUAUUUUUUAAUAUAUAUACUAAAACUAUCAACUAUAAGCCAUCUAGUAAAUCCUUAAAGUUUUUAUUAAUUUUUCUUUUUU
rnacentral:lncRNA from 1 species